rnacentral:rRNA from 3 species
CCCCGAGAUGAGUUCUCCCUGAGACUUUAAGUCUCCUGAAGGAACGUUGAAGACGACGACGUUGAUAGGCCGGGUGUGUAAGCGCAGCGAUGCGUUGAGCUAACCGGUACUAAUGAACCGUGAGGCUUAACCUU